GCUGUUGUUCCUUGGACCUCUGGCCGUGUGGCUCCUGCUGCUGCCUGGUGAGUCCCAGGCUGCGUCCUGAUGCUCGGGCUGCUGCCAGCCACUCUCCUCCUGUGGGAUGAACCAUCUGCUUACAAACUACUAGACCUACCAUGAAAACUGUCUAAAGGGACUGGCAAAAAAUUAGCUUCUUAACAGAGGCAGAUUUUUCUACUGCAAGUGAAGCAGAACUGUGUAAAGUAAGUACACACAGGCUGCAAAAGGGAUCCAUUGGUUGAUGUAGGAGGCAAGAACUGAGCACCUUGAGAGGACC